rnacentral:lncRNA from 1 species
UACCUCUAUCACACGACCUUUUAGAGAUUUACGAGAACAAAUGAGAGCAAACACAUGAAAGCUUGGUACCUGUGUAGAGUCGAUAUAUAGGGUUUUGCUGUUUGAACAAUGGAAGAGGCGGCUUGUAGGAAGAAGCAGAGAACCGCAAACUGAUUGGCUUUGAGGUUCCACUUAUCGGAGAAUAGAUUCCGGUGACCAAUCGGCGUCAUGUUCACCGCCUGUGACUCUUCAAAUCUGUUCUGAAAUAAUCGGAAAGAUAAUGAAAUGAGAUCAAUGAAUAAGAAAAACAAAAUCAAAAUCGAUAAGAUCAUCAUUCAUAGUUACCUGAUUCAUCAAUCGCAGGCUGGAUUGUUCAUCAUCAAUCUGUGAUCUAUCGUUCUUCAUCGAUCGAUUGAUUCUACAUGCUUCGCAGUACCGUUUUG